GUAACUAGAGUCCAAUCUGUUGGAAGGGCAACUUCUGACCAUUUAAUGGUCUGAGGAACUUGUAUAUGGGCAUCUGAAGUGUGACUCUGGAUUAGGACUGUUUGGUCUUUUGGGCUUUUGUUCAGGGCUUGGAAAUUCAUAUUUGUACCUGUGACUUUGUAAUAGAUUCUGUAAACUAAGGCUAAAGGUUGGGUUCCUGGGAGGACAUUAUA
rnacentral:lncRNA from 1 species